CACGGCCGGUCGCUGUCCGGGACUGAGCUUUCUCGGGAGGACCGCGGACUGCUGUUCGAAGGCUUUUAUGGCGGGAAUCAGUUCAGUCGCUAUAGCUUGAACCGGGUAAAAGUCGUAACAAGAUACCUAUAGGUGGACAUGCAGAUG
rfam:Haemonchus contortus, ISE/inbred ISE, WGS project CAVP01000000 data, contig: Hcontortus_38541